CGAUAUCGACGAGUUUAUCAUGGCUCAGAACGAACGCUGGCGGCAGGCCUAACACAUGCAAGUCGAGCGCCCCGCAAGGGGAGCGGCGGACGGGUGAGUAACGCGUGGGAACGUGCCUCUUGCUACGGAAUAGCCUCGGGAAACUGGGAGUAAUACCGUAUGUGCCCUACGGGGGAAAGAUUUAUCGGCAAGAGAUCGGCCCGCGUUGGAUUAGGUAGUUGGUGGGGUAAUGGCCUACCAAGCCGACGAUCCAUAGCUGGUUUGAGAGGAUGAUCAGCCACACUGGGACUGAGACACGGCCCAGACUCCUACGGGAGGCAGCAGUGGGGAAUCUUAGACAAUGGGCGCAAGCCUGAUCUAGCCAUGCCGCGUGAGCGAUGAAGGCCUUAGGGUUGUAAAGCUCUUUCAGUGGGGAAGAUAAUGACUGUACCCACAGAAGAAGACCCCGGCUAACUCCGUG
rnacentral:rRNA from 1 species